rnacentral:rRNA from 1 species
GUCCACGCCGUAAACGAUGGGCACUAGGUGUAGCGGGUAUUGACCCCUGCUGUGCCGAAGCUAACGCAUUAAGUGCCCCGCCUGGGGAGUACGGCCGCAAGGCUAAAACUCAAAGGAAUUGACGGGGCCCGCACAAGCGGUGGAGCAUGUGGUUUAAUUCGACGCAACGCGAAGAACCUUACCUGGGCUUGACAUCCCUUGACAGUCUAUGAAAGUAGAUCUUCCUUUCGGGGACAAGGAGACAGGUGCUGCAUGGCUGUCGU